GUGCCUAAUACAUGCAAGUCGUACGCACUGGCCCAACUGAUUGAUGGUGCUUGCACCUGAUUGACGAUGGAUCACCAGUGAGUGGCGGACGGGUGAGUAACACGUAGGUAACCUGCCCCGGAGCGGGGGAUAACAUUUGGAAACAGAUGCUAAUACCGCAUAACAACAAAAGCCACAUGGCUUUUGUUUGAAAGAUGGCUUUGGCUAUCACUCUGGGAUGGACCUGCGGUGCAUUAGCUAGUUGGUAAGGUAACGGCUUACCAAGGCGAUGAUGCAUAGCCGAGUUGAGAGACUGAUCGGCCACAAUGGAACUGAGACACGGUCCAUACUCCUACGGGAGGCAGCAGUAGGGAAUCUUCCACAAUGGGCGCAAGCCUGAUGGAGCAACACCGCGUGAGUGAAGAAGGGUUUCGGCUCGUAAAGCUCUGUUGUUGGAGAAGAACGUGCGUGAGAGUAACUGUUCACGCAGUGACGGUAUCCAACCAGAAAGUCACGGCUAACUACGUGCCAGCAGCCGCGGUAAUACGUAGGUGGCAAGCGUUAUCCGGAUUUAUUGGGCGUAAAGCGAGCGCAGGCGGUUGCUUAGGUCUGAUGUGAAAGCCUUCGGCUUAACCGAAGAAGUGCAUCGGAAACCGGGCGACUUGAGUGCAGAAGAGGACAGUGGAACUCCAUGUGUAGCGGUGGAAUGCGUAGAUAUAUGGAAGAACACCAGUGGCGAAGGCGGCUGUCUGGUCUGCAACUGACGCUGAGGCUCGAAAGCAUGGGUAGCGAACAGGAUUAGAUACCCUGGUAGUCCAUGCCGUAAACGAUGAGUGCUAGGUGUUGGAGGGUUUCCGCCCUUCAGUGCCGGAGCUAACGCAUUAAGCACUCCGCCUGGGGAGUACGACCGCAAGGUUGAAACUCAAAGGAAUUGACGGGGGCCCGCACAAGCGGUGGAGCAUGUGGUUUAAUUCGAAGCUACGCGAAGAACCUUACCAGGUCUUGACAUCUUGCGCUAACCUUAGAGAUAAGGCGUUCCCUUCGGGGACGCAAUGACAGGUGGUGCAUGGUCGUCGUCAGCUCGUGUCGUGAGAUGUUGGGUUAAGUCCCGCAACGAGCGCAACCCUUGUUACUAGUUGCCAGCAUUAAGUUGGGCACUCUAGUGAGACUGCCGGUGACAAACCGGAGGAAGGUGGGGACGACGUCAGAUCAUCAUGCCCCUUAUGACCUGGGCUACACACGUGCUACAAUGGACGGUACAACGAGUCGCAAGCUCGCGAGAGUAAGCUAAUCUCUUAAAGCCGUUCUCAGUUCGGACUGUAGGCUGCAACUCGCCUACACGAAGUCGGAAUCGCUAGUAAUCGCGGAUCAGCAUGCCGCGGUGAAUACGUUCCCGGGCCUUGUACACACCGCCCGUCACACCAUGGGAGUUUGUAACGCCCAAAGUCGGUGGCCUAACCUUUAUGGAGGGAGCCGCCUACGACUUGCAUGUA
rnacentral:rRNA from 2 species